AAAUGUAUCCAAUUAUAUAGGGAAUACAUAUUAACUGAUACCACGGUCUAUAAUGGCAAGACAUUGUCUGAAUCAUUGUGUGAACUUAGAGGUAAAAAUCUAGGUUGUUGGUGUCACCCAGCCCCCUGUCAUGGAGACGUUCUGAUAGAAUUGCUUAAAAAAGGGUAACUGUGUCGGACUAUGUCAUAUAUUUCAACAACCACAC
rnacentral:lncRNA from 1 species